CCUCGUGGUGUAGUGGUCAGCACGCUCGGCGCGUAUUCGAGAGGUCCAUGGUUCGAAUCCAGGCGAGG
rnacentral:tRNA from 1 species